CCUACGGGAGGCAGCAGUAGGGAAUAUUGCUCAAUGGGGGAAACCCUGAAGCAGCAACGCCGCGUGGAGGAUUACUGUUUUAUGGUUUGAAAAUCCUUUUGUUAGGGGAGCUAAUGACGGUAUCUCACGAAUAAGCACCGGCGAACUCCAAGACAGCCGCCGCAGUACUACGGGGGGGGCAAGCGUUACUCGGAAUCACUGGGCGUAACGGGUGCGCAGGCGGGAUUGUAAGUCAGAUGUGAAAUCCUGGGGCUUAAAUACAGAACUGAAGUGGAAACUGUGCGUCUAGAGUGUGGGAGAGGUAGGUGGAAUUCUUGGUGUAGGGGUAAAAUGCGUAGAUAUCAAGAGGAAUACUCAUGGCGAAGGCGACCUACUGGAACAUUACUGACGCUCAUGCACGAAAGCGUGGGGAGCGAACAGGAUUAGAUACCCGUGUAGUC
rnacentral:rRNA from 1 species